rnacentral:misc_RNA from 1 species
CAACCCUCGGGCCCACCCCUCGCGGGGAACGGGCCCGGCGUUGGGGACCGGAGGCCGCCCCGGCGGCACCCGCCCCCUAAAUUCAGUGGCGGUCGCGCCGCAGCCUCCCCUGCGUAGUAGCACACCUCGCACCGGAGAGCGGCACGGCCACGCCGUAAAACCCCCGACUUUCUGAA